rnacentral:rRNA from 1 species
UACAGAGGGGGCAAGCGUUGUUCGGAAUUACUGGGCGUAAAGGGCGCGUAGGCGGCCUGCUAAGUCGAACGUGAAAUCCCCGGGCUCAACCCGGGAACUGCGUCCGAUACUGGUUGGCUUGAAUCCGGGAGAGGGAUGCGGAAUUCCAGGUGUAGCGGUGAAAUGCGUAGAUAUCUGGAGGAACACCGGUGGCGAAGGCGGCGUCCUGGACCGGCAUUGACGCUGAGGCGCGAAAGCCAGGGGAGCAAACGGG